rnacentral:rRNA from 1 species
GACGGAGGAUGCAAGUGUUAUCCGGAAUCACUGGGCGUAAAGCGUCUGUAGGUGGUCAAAUAAGUCAACUGUUAAAUCUUGAGGCUCAACCUCAAAAUCGCAGUCGAAACUAUUAGACUAGAGUAUAGUAGGGGUAAAGGGAAUUUCCAGUGGAGCGGUGAAAUGCGUAGAGAUUGGAAAGAACACCGAUGGUGAAGGCGCUUUACUGGGCUAUUACUAACACUCAGAGACGAAAGCUAGGGUAGCAAAUGGG